AUAGUUAUCUCUUAUAGAACAACACCUCUCUCUCUUUCUACCUCUGUCCAACGCCAAUUCACUCUCCGGCUCCGAUCAACACUUGUAUACUCAUCUGUCUACAACCCCACAUGACUAGAGUACCACUUUUCUCCCUUAUUUCAUCUUUACCUAGAAAAGUUUGAGGCUUAGGGCUUGAAGCACAUCUAAUUUGAGUUGUUGCAAAAAUAAGACGUAUUUUCAAGACUUCACAGAUUACAGAGAAUCUGUGAGAGAGCGUUGUCACUUGGAAGACUAAUUUCCAUACUUCAGAAUCAUCAACAUCAUGAAUCCAAAUCCAUGCAAUACCUAUGCAUCGUGGAGAAGCAAGGUAUUGAUUGGUUUGGGGAUUGCAAAUUUAGACUAUGC